rnacentral:tRNA from 2 species
UCCGGGAUGCUCUGCUGGCCGGGCGCCCCGACUUUGGAUCGGGAGGACGCAGGUUCGAUUCCUGCUCCCGGAG